rnacentral:rRNA from 1 species
AGCGAACGCUGGCGGCAGGCCUAAUACAUGCAAGUCGAACGAACACUCCGGAGUUAGUGGCGGACGGGUGUGUAACACGUGGGAUCGUGCCUUUUGGUUCGGAAUAACUCAGGGAAACUUGUGCUAAUACCGAAUGUGCCCUUCGGGGGAAAGAUUUAUCGCCAUUUGAGCGGCCCGCGUCUGAUUAGCUAGUUGGUGAGGUAACGGCUCACCAAGGCGACGAUCAGUAGCUGGUUUGAGAGGAUGACCAGCCACACUGGGACUGAGACACGGCCCAGACUCCUACGGGAGGCAGCAGUGGGGGAUCUUGCGCAAUGGGCGGAAGCCUGACGCAGCCAUGCCGCGUGAAUGAUGAAAGUCUUAAGAUUGUAAAAUUCUUUCACCGGGGACGAUAAUGACGGUACCCAGAGAGGAAGCCCCGGCUAACUUCGUG